CAACACACAAAACAAGCGGUGAGUGCUUUGGGGUGGGGUGACUGCGUACCUUUUGUAUAAUGGGUCAGCGACUUAUAUUCUGUAGCAAGGUUAACCGAAUAGGGGAGCCGGAGGGAAACCGAGUCUUAACUGGGCGUUAAGUUGCAGGGUAUAGACCCGAAACCCGGUGAUCUAGCCAUGGGCAGGUUGAAGGUUGGGUAACACUAACUGGAGGACCGAACCGACUAAUGUUGAAAAAUUAGCGGAUGACCUGUGGCUGGGGGUGAAAGGCCAAUCAAACCGGGAGAUAGCUGGUUCUCCCCGAAAGCUAUUUAGGUAGCGCCUCGUGAAUUCAUCUCCGGGGGUAGAGCA
rnacentral:rRNA from 1 species